rnacentral:lncRNA from 1 species
AUCUUCUGGAUAUAUGCCCAGGAGAGGUAUUUCGGGAUCCUCCGGUAGUACUAUGUCCAGUUUUCUGAGGAACCGCCAGACUGAUUUCCAGAGUGGUUGUACAAGCUUGCAAUCCCACCAACAAUGGAGGAGUGUUCCUCUUUCUCCACAUCCUGCCAGCAUCUGCUGUCACCUAAAUUUUUGAUCUUAGCCAUUCUGACUGGUGUGUGGUGGGAGAGUAUGGAAUACAGAAGCUAACAGCUUCUGGGACAGGCGGGAGCCACAGAGCUUCUAAGGCAGCCCCCUUUUCGGGCCCCAGACAUCUGGCCACUUUCCUGGCCAGGGGAUAGCUGUCCGCCGGGCCCGGGAGCACUUUGCCUGAGCAUCGGCAGCAGACAUCUUGGUUCCGGGAGUCCGCCGAGAGUAUUCUGCAUAGUGUGGAAUACAGAAGCUAACGGCUUCUGGGUAAAGGACUUGGCUUUUUAAGAGGCUGAGAAGUGACACAGUCUUCAGUCUGCACACUGGAGGCCCAGGAACUUGCUAGUGUGGUUCAGCUAAAAUUCAAAGGCAUAAAAACUAUGGACCCCAUUGUGUAAGUAUUAGUUAGAGAACAGAAGAGUCCUGUCUCAGCUCCAGCAAUCAUGCAGAAGGGGCGCAGUUCCUCUUCCUUUCCCUUUUGUUUAUUCAGGUUUUCACAGGAUUGAGUAAGACCUGUUAACCUUACUGUAUCUGCUCUUUCAAGUGCUAAAAGACUCAAGCUACACCCAGAUAUAAUGUUUAUUCAAAAAAAUCUGGGUACCCUAUCCAUUAGAGAGCAUAUACAAAAUUAUGUGUGAGGAGUUAUAUCUAAUACCAUAUUAAUUAUAUUAUUGUUUAUGGAUAAAUGUGAGAGAUGGUUGAUAUUUCUAAAGGCCAAAAGCCCUUUAACCCCAAAUUAACUGAUCUAUCAUAAAUGCAUCAAUUGUGUUUUGGGGGGGCCUUGAGCUUUCAUAGUAGUUGUGAAAAAUAGUUUGUUUCUCCUUUCUGGAGCCCAAGUUAAAAGACUAGCCUUAAUACUUGUAUAAAUUGUAUAUAUGUGAUAUAUAUAUAUAUAUAUAUAUAUACAUGUAAGUAUGUAUUAUGUACUUUCUUAACAUCUUUUAUAUUCAAUAAAUAUAUUAUUGCUGAUCCUUGACUUGGUUGCACAAAUUAACAUUUCCAUUUAAAAAGUUAUAGAUCAAUUCUGUUUUAUAUCACAAAAAUCUGGGCACCCUAUCAUCCAUUAUAGUGUAUGAAUGUAUCUAAAAUCAUAUUUAGCUUUUUAAUCUCUUAGAUCCAGAUCUACCACUUUAUUGUGUUAUUUCCUUAUAUUACUCCUACCUCCCAAUGCACUUAGAAUUUUUCCCUUCCAUUGCCCUUCCAUGUAGAGGGUUAGAGGAGGACAAAGUAAAUUGAAUCAUAAUGUAAACAUUUACCCUGCCUUUUAAAUGGCUUACAGUAUUAGAUAUGAAGAGAACAAUUGGCAGUGCUGUCAAAGGUAGCUGUCCUUUAUACUGUGACUCUGACCUAGUUGGUGGUGCUCACGUUUGGUUCUGACAUGUCAACAUGGCAGGAAAAAGAGGAACACUAAACUUUUUAUCAGUCAAGUUAGAUAUGUCAGAGUUUUGUCCCUAUUUCACUGGCUAUAAUAUCUAUCUAUAUCUAUAUAUAUCUAUAUAUAUAUUAUAUUCUUACUAUAAGAAACACAUAUGCCCAGAAUGGAAAUGAGAACUGGGUUCUGUGAGCACUAAACAUGCUUAUAUAGAAGAACAGCUAGACAAACAAAAUCUGUACUUAAUAAUGCUUAAGGCUAGUGAACAACUAUGUCACAUAAGCAGUUGCCAAGAAUGGGGAGAAAUUGCAAUACUAAGAUAUCAUUUACAGGCAUAGCUUGUAUGGUCAGUUUGCAAUUUUCUGGUUUCUAGAAACUUUUUAUAUCACCUACUAAAGUCAUAGCAUCUCUGAAAACUUGGACUUCUAUUCCUAUCAUAAUUGACUUCUUUGAGAGUAACCAGACUGAGGUAAAAGGAGUGGUAGUGCUUGGUGAGAACUGUUUGUAGGAAGUCAAAGGCUUUUUGUGAUUUUUUUUUAUACUUAGUUCCUGGUUUAAUCCCAUGGACAUAGAUCAUCAAUGGGAGGCUUUAUCCAGCAUCUCAUGAGAGCAGAUGUAGAGACCCACAGCUAAACAUUAGGUGGGGCUUAAGGAACCCCACAGAAGAGGGGUGAUAGGAUAGUAGGAGCUAGAGGAAUCAAGAAUGCCACAAGAACACAGGCCACAGAUUGAACUAACCAGGGCACAUAGGGGCUCACAAAGAUGAAUCAACCAUCAGGGAGCCUGGAUAGGACUGAGCUAAGUCCUCUGCAUAUAUUAUGGUUGUGUAGCUUGAUGAUCUUAUAGGACUCCUAACUGUGAGUGUAGUGGUAUCUCUGACUUGCCUGCUCGUGAGACCCUUUUCCUCUUAUUGCAUUGCCUCUUUCAGCCUUGAUAUGAGGGUUUGUGCCUAGUCUUAUUGCAUCUUGUAGGGGAAUUUUAAUCCAGCAACAUGGUUGUCUGGCAAGGGAUCACACCCCAAGACGGUCUAGGCCUCUUCUAUCUGGCUAAAUUGCAGCAGGCCACACACCUCUAAUCACUCUGGCUAGAGUAAGACACACCCUUAGUACCCACCCAGCUCCCAUGAGUACAGAUAGAAAAGAGAGGCAGCUUAAGACACCAGUACAGAGAGAGAGGUAGGGAAUGGAGGGAGGCAGUUUUACUGGGACAGUUUUACAGGUUGCAGAUGAAGUC